GACUCGCAAGAUCUAGAGAGAGAGAAAGAGGGUAAUGGAAAGAGAGAGAGAGAGAGGGUAAUGGAAAGAGAGCGAGGAGGUAAUGGAGAGAGCGGGGGUAAUGGAAAGAGAGAGAGAGAGAGAAAGAGGGUAAUGGAAAGAGAGCGAGAGAGAGAGGAGGUAAUGGAGAGAGAGGAGGUAAUGGAAAGAGAGCGAGAGAGAGAGGAGGUAAUGGAGAGAGAGGAGGUAAUGGAUAGAGAGGAGGUAAUGGAAAGAGAGCGAGAGGGAGAGGAGGUAAUGGAGAGAGAGGAGGUAAUGGAUAGAGAGGAGGUAAUGGAAAGAGAGCGAGAGAGAGAGGAGGUAAUGGAGAGAGAGGAGGUAAUGGAUAGAGAGGAGGUAAUGGAAAGAGAGCGAGAGGGAGAGGAGGUAAUGGAGAGAGAGGAGGUAAUGGAUAGAGAGGAGGUAAUGGAAAGAGAGCGAGAGAGAGAGGAGGUAAUGGAGAGAGAGGAGGUAAUGGAUAGAGAGGAGGUAAUGGAAAGAGAGCGAGAGGGAGAGGAGGUAAUGGAGAGAGAGGAGGUAAUGGAUAGAGAGGAGGUAAUGGAAAGAGAGCGAGAGAGAGAGGAGGUAAUGGAGAGAGAGGAGGUAAUGGAGAGAGCAGGGGUAAUGGAAAGAGAGAUAGAGAGCGAAGAGAAAGAAAAAGGGAGAUGGAGAAAGAGAGUCAGAGAAAAGCCAUGGUGUUGCUCAUUGUUACUCACUGCCUGGCAGGACAGAGCAACAUCAA